CCUACGGGAGGCAGCAGUAGGGAAUCUUCCACAAUGGACGAAAGUCUGAUGGAGCAACGCCGCGUGAGUGAUGAAGGUUUUCGGAUCGUAAAACUCUGUUGUAAGGGAAGAACAAGUACGUUAGGAAAUGAACGUACCUUGACGUACCUUAUUAGAAAGCCACGGCUAACUACGUGCCAGCAGCCGCGGUAAUACGUAGGUGGCAAGCGUUGUCCGGAUUUAUUGGGCGUAAAGCGCGCGCAGGCGGUUUCUUAAGUCUGAUGUGAAAGCCCACGGCUUUACCGUGGAGGGUCAUUGGAAACUGGGAGACUUGAGUGCAGAAGAGGAAAGUGGAAUUCCAAGUGUAGCGGUGAAAUGCGUAGAGAUUUGGAGGAACACCAGUGGCGAAGGCGACUUUCUGGUCUGCAACUGACGCUGAGGCGCGAAAGCAUGGGGAGCAAACAGGAUUAGAUACCCUGGUAGUCCAUGCCGUAAACGAUGAGUGCUAAGUGUUAGGGGGUUUCCGCCCCUUAGUGCUGCAGCUAACGCAUUAAGCACUCCGCCUGGGGAGUACGACCGCAAGGUUGAAACUCAAAGGAAUUGACGGGGGCCCGCACAAGCGGUGGAGCAUGUGGUUUAAUUCGAAGCAACGCGAAGAACCUUAC
rnacentral:rRNA from 1 species